UAUUUAUUUUAUUAUAUUUAUUUUUUGUUUAUUUAAUUAUUUAAUAAAAAUAAUUUUGUUGAAUUUUGUCUUAGUAUAUUUUGUAGAAUUGAUUUUUUAUAUUAUAGUUUAUUGGUAAUGUAAUUGUUUUAUGAAAUAUUAUUUUAAAUUUUUAAAAGUAGAUUUUAUUUAUUGUACCUUUUGUAUCAGGGUUUAUCAAAAUUUUAGUAUUUACUUUACUUGUCUCGAUUUGGGUUGAUUUAUAAAUAAUUUAUAGUUAAUGUAUCAUAAUUCUUAUUAAAUUAUUUAUAGAAAUGAGAUGUUAACCGUUUCCCAAGAUAUCUAGUUUCUUAAGAAAAAAUUUAAUUUUUUAAAGUUAAUUGUUUUUAUUUAAUUUUUUAAGUAUAAAUAUUAACUUAUUUAUUCUUUAAGGGAUAAGCUUUGAAGUUAAUAACCUAUAAUUUGUUUUAAUAAAAUAUAAUAGUAAGCUUUAAACCAGCUAUCUUUAAGAUUACGUUUAAGUUCAUUAUUUUUAUUUUUGAUUUUAAAACUAUUUUAGGUUUUUUAUUAAGAUUAAUAAUUUAAUUUUUAAAUUUUUGUAAUAAGGAUAGAAUUAGUAUAUUUAUUUGUAUAUAAUUUUCACCCUGGUAAUUUAUUAUAAGGGACUAGGC
rnacentral:rRNA from 1 species